rnacentral:lncRNA from 1 species
AUGUUAUGGAAACCACCGCUCGAAAAUGGGACCGCUUUUCAAAAGAAAAGAAAGACGCUGAAUUGUUUACAACCCCCUCCACAAAAAAAUGUGCGAAGAACUGUUCCCAACUGUUCCAACCCUUUCCCAACUGUUCCAAAACUUCAGCAAGCAGGCAUCCCCUCGCGAGACCGCACGACGUCUGGACCGCUCUUCAUCAUCAUCACGUCAGAUCUCAAGCAGCCCAGUGAGGGGUUGGCUCUCCGCUUCCAGCCACAGAGAUGCACUCCACUCUGUCAUCAGACUGGUCCCCCCGCAGCCAGAACUGUCAACACUCGUUGUUGGGCUGUCCAACACACACAUCAGCGGAUAUGGCGGUCCACUCACCCAAGACUCGAGCAAUGGAUCGGAUGGAUGGAAAAUAUGUACAAACCACGGGUCCUGGGCAAUCUAGCACAAUGA